AGGGUUUGAUCAUGGCUCAGAACGUACGCUGGCGGCACGCCUAACACAUGCAAGUCGAACGAAGUAGCAAUACUUAGUGGCAGACGGGUGAGUAACAUGUAGGUAUCUGCCCUUUGGCCUGGAAUAACACGAGGAAACUUGUGCUAAUACUGGAUAAGUCUUUACGGAGAAAGCUUUAUGCACCAUUGGAUGAGCCUGCACUUGAUUAGUUUGUUGGUGGGGUAAUGGCCUACCAAGACUGUGAUCAAUAGCUGAUUUGAGAGGAUGAUCAGCCACAUUGGGACUGAGACACGGCCCAAACUCCUACGGGAGGCAGCAGUGGGGAAUCUUGCACAAUGGAGGAAACUCUGAUGCAGCGAUGCCGCGUGAGUGAAGAAGGCCUUUGGGUUGUAAAGCUCUUUCGUCGGGGAAGAAAAUGACUGUACCCGAAUAAGAAGGUCCGGCUAACUUCGUGCCAGCAGCCGCGGUAAUACGAAGGGACCUAGCGUAGUUCGGAAUUACUGGGCUUAAAGAGUUCGUAGGUGGUUGAAAAAGUUGGUGGUGAAAUCCCAGAGCUUAACUCUGGAACUGCCAUCAAAACUUUUCAGCUAGAGUAUGAUAGAGGAAAGCAGAAUUUCUAGUGUAGAGGUGAAAUUCGUAGAUAUUAGAAAGAAUACCAAUUGCGAAGGCAGCUUUCUGGAUCAUUACUGACACUGAGGAACGAAAGCAUGGGUAGCGAAGAGGAUUAGAUACCCUCGUAGUCCAUGCCGUAAACGAUGUGUGUUAGACGUUGGAAAUUUAUUUUCAGUGUCGCAGCGAAAGCGAUAAACACACCGCCUGGGGAGUACGACCGCAAGGUUAAAACUCAAAUGAAUUGACGGGGACCCGCACAAGUAGUGGAGCAUGUGGUUUAAUUCGAAGAUACGCGCAGAACCUUACCAACACUUGACAUGUUCGUCGCGACUUUAAGAGAUUAAAGUUUUCGGUUCGGCCGGACGAAACACAGGUGCUGCAUGGCUGUCGUCAGCUCGUGUCGUGAGAUGUUGGGUUAAGUCCCGCAACGAGCGCAACCCUCACUUUUAGUUGCCAUCAUUAAGUUGGGCACUCUGAAAGAACUGCCAGUGAUAAGCUGGAGGAAGGUGGGGAUGACGUCAAGUCCUCAUGGCCCUUACGUGUUGGGCUACACACGUGCUACAAUGGUAUCUACAACAGGAAGCAAGACGGCGACGUUAAGCAAAUCCUUAAAAGAUACCUCAGUUCGGAUUGCACUCUGCAACUCGAGUGCAUGAAGCUGGAAUUACUAGUAAUCGUGGAUCAGCGUGCCACGGUGAAUGCGUUCCCGGGUCUUGUACACACCGCCCGUCACACCAUGGGAGUUGGUUCUACCUUAAGGCAAGGUUUCAAACCCUUGACCACGGUAUAGUCAGCGACUGGGGUGAAGUCGUAACAAGGUAACCGUA
rnacentral:rRNA from 1 species